rnacentral:lncRNA from 1 species
UACCUUAGGCAUGGACGAUCUGGAAAGCUAUCUGUUUAGCUUAGGAGUACUAUUAGUUUGAUACUACCACUUCGUCCCUUAGCAUCUCCGAUCUCUAAAGCUCCUAGGCUAUUCUGAUAGUGACUUAUAGGAUUCUUUUCAUUUUCUGAGAGCCCCCACCCUCAUGGUUUGUCAAAGUGAAUUUUGAUGGCAGUGUCAGGGA